rnacentral:ncRNA from 1 species
ACAAGGUAGGUAAGGGAAGUCGGCAAAUUGGAUCCGUAACUUUGGGAGAAGGAUUGGCUAUGGGGGCCGAGUCAGACAGGCCGAGA